rnacentral:rRNA from 1 species
AUUGAACGCUGGCGGCAUGCUUUACACAUGCAAGUCGAACGGUAACAGGGAGCUUGCUCCGCUGACGAGUGGCGAACGGGUGAGUAAUGCGUCGGAACGUGCCGAGUAGUGGGGGAUAACGCAGCGAAAGUUGUGCUAAUACCGCAUACGUACUGAGGUAGAAAGUGGGGGACCUUCGGGCCUCACGCUAUUCGAGCGGCCGACGUCUGAUUAGCUAGUAGGUGAGGUAAAGGCUCACCUAGGCGACGAUCAGUAGCGGGUCUGAGGGGAUGAGCCUCCAGACUGGGACUGAGACACGGCCCAGGCUCCUACGGGAGGCAGCAGUGGGGAAUUUUGGACGAUGGGCGAAAGCCUGAUCCAGCCAUGCCGCGUGUCUGAAGAAGGCCUUCGGGUUGUAAAGGACUUUUGUCGGGGAGGAAAUCCCCAGCGCUAAUACCGCUGGGGGAUGACAGUACCUGAAGAAUAAGCACCGGCUAACUACGUGCCAGCAGCCGCGGUAACAC